rnacentral:tRNA from 1 species
GCUUGGGUGGCUUAGUUGGUUGAACAUCUGACUCUUGAUUUCAACUCAGGUCAUGAUGCCAGAGUCGUGGGUUCGAGUCCUGCCUCAGGCU